rnacentral:rRNA from 1 species
AUUGAACGCUGGCGGCAGGCCUAACACAUGCAAGUCGAACGGUAGCACAGAGGAGCUUGCUCCUUGGGUGACGAGUGGCGGACGGGUGAGUAAUGUCUGGGAAACUGCCCGAUGGAGGGGGAUAACUACUGGAAACGGUAGCUAAUACCGCAUAACGUCGCAAGACCAAAGAGGGGGACCUUCGGGCCUCUUGCCAUCGGAUGUGCCCAGAUGGGAUUAGCUAGUAGGUGGGGUAACGGCUCACCUAGGCGACGAUCCCUAGCUGGUCUGAGAGGAUGACCAGCCACACUGGAACUGAGACACGGUCCAGACUCCUACGGGAGGCAGCAGUGGGGAAUAUUGCACAAUGGGCGCAAGCCUGAUGCAGCCAUGCCGCGUGUAUGAAGAAGGCCUUCGGGUUGUAAAGUACUUUCAGCGAGGAGGAAGGCGUUGUGGUUAAUAACCGCAACGAUUGACGUUACUCGCAGAAGAAGCCCGGCUAACUCCGUGCCAGCCGCCGCGGUAAAAGGG